GAUGACUUUCUGCCCUAACACUCAUCCUUUCCCAUUUGCUGGUGGUCUUAAAUGCUGCGAGAGGAAUUUGGCAAAUCCUCCAAACAUUCCCUCUGGGUCACGUGGAUAUCUAACUCCAGCUUCAACAACUUGCUUGGGAUUAGAGUUUGUUUGUCCUGGAUCUAAGUGUUCUAGAAAUCAAGCUUAUGAUGAUCAAACAGCUCUACAG